UACGUAGGGGGCAAGCGUUGUCCGGAAUUAUUGGGCGUAAAGAGCGUGUAGGCGGUCCGGUAAGUCAGCUGUGAAAGUCAAGGGCUCAACCCUUGAAAGCCGGUUGAUACUGUCGGGCUAGAGUCCGGAAGAGGCGAGUGGAAUUCCCGGUGUAGCGGUGAAAUGGCGCAGAUAUCGGGAGGAACACCAAUGGCGAAGGCAAGCUCGCUGGGACGGUACUGA
rnacentral:rRNA from 1 species